CGAAAUAAUGGUGAGCUAAGCACAACUAAAUCUUGGAUUGAGGUUAAUUAUGUGUAGCAAAACAUAGUCCCAAGUUCUGCUUAGGGGUGAUAGGCCUUUCAAACUUUAUGAUAUCUUGAUGCCACCCAAAAGUAUGUAGUACAAAGACAUAUAUCAAGUGUUUAGGCUUGAUAUACUGGUGAAAUGAAACGCUUUACAUAGAUUAUUGUAACCAAUUUUUCUAUAUAUGAUUUUACCAUUCAUUUUACAUUAUCUUACCGAAAAAUAGGGGGUCAGCAUAUCAAAUCUUAAGUAGUGUAGAUAAUGUUAAUAUAAGUAUAAUGUGAUAGACCUAUGUAAAAAACUCGGCAAAACAUAAUCUCAACUGUUUAACAAAAACAUAACUAUAUGGUACUUUCAUAUAUAGCAAAUUCUGCUCAAUGUAUGUUUAUAAAUAGCCGCAGUACCUUGACUGUGCAAAGGUAGCAUAAUCAAUUGGCUUAUAAUUGAAGUCUAGAAUGAAGGAAUCUAUGGGGUUUAACUGUUUCAUAUAGGUAGCUGGAAAUUAUUGAUUAAGUGAAAAUCCUUAUAUAUAAAUAAUAGACGAGAAGACCCUAGAAGUUUUAGAAUAUGUUGGUAUAGUCCUUGGGUUUUUAGUUGGGGCGACUGAGCAGCAGAAAUGUAACCUGCUCUUAUUGUUUGAAUUAUAUAAUAAGUUAAAAUAAAUUACUCUAGGGAUAACAGCAUAAUAUUGGAAAGAUUGUGACCUCGAUGUUGGACUAGGAAAUUAGAGCCCAGAAGGCAAAUAAGAAGGCUCUGUU
rnacentral:rRNA from 1 species